rnacentral:tRNA from 1 species
GCCCCUGUGGCCCAACGGUUAGAGGCGGGCUCCCUAAAAGAGCUUCAUCGUGUCGGUUCAACUCCGACCAGGGGCA